rnacentral:rRNA from 1 species
CUCUGUCCUCAAGGAAGAUAAUGACGGUACUUGAGGAGGAAGCCCCGGCUAACUACGUGCCAGCAGCCGCGGUAAUACGUAGGGGGCUAGCGUUAUCCGGAUUUACUGGGCGUAAAGGGUGCGUAGGCGGUCUUUCAAGGCAGGAGUGAAAGGCUACGGCUCAACCGUAGUAAGCUCUUGAAACUGGGAGACUUGAGUGCAGGAGAGGAGAGUGGAAUUCCUAGUGUAGCGGUGAAAUGCGUAGAUAUUAGGAGGAACACCAGUUGCGAAGGCGGCUCUCUGGACUGUAACUGACGCUGAGGCACGAAAGCGUGGGGAGCAAACAGGAUUAGAUACCCUGGUAGUCCACGCUGUAAACGAUGAGUACUAGGUGUCGGGGGUUACCCCC